UAGUUUCUGCAUUGUUACCUUAUGUUUUCUGCUUUUGGUACUGAAAAAUUACUAGAAGUUUUGGACUUGACGCUUAUCCAUGCCCACUAGAGAAUGGAGAGACUUGGCUAUCCAUUGUCCUCCUGAUCCUUUGAUCUGGAAAAGCAUUAGAAGCUGCCAUUCUUUGUCACUGGCUGGAGUAGACUCCUAGAAGCUCUUACACAGGUGCAGAAUAUCAGAAGUGUUAGCAUAGCCCAGUCCCUUUACAUCCUGCCUCUGUGUAAACGAGGUAAAGGCAGGAAAAGGUGUCAGAGAAGAAGACUUUACACCAGAUAAGCGUUACAGUAAGGACUGCUCCAUACCAAGGCAGUCCCUGACAUAAUACUAUUAAGAUAUUUCUCCACCUAUAACAGAGUUGCCAUCUCAUCGAAUCAAAGACCAAGAGAGACUUCUGUGAUCCUCAAUAGUUGAUUUGCACUUGUGAAUGGGUAGUGGAUGAGGAUCAGUUAGGAGGAGGUUAAUGUGCACCAGCUAUUGCCAAGCUCUUCUGUAUUGCCCUGCAAUGGUUGGAAUCUCCACCCCGGCACCUGCUGGGAAUGCGGCUGUCUUUCAGCCAGAGCAUCUCUGGCUUCGUCUCUUCUGUGCCAGUUUGGACCCUCCCAGGCAGUAAGACUGCCAGUUGUUAGGUCAUCUAAAGAUGUGGACAAACCUAAGAAGUGAUCAGAAAUUACUAUAUCCAAGUUCUUUGUUCCUUUAAUAAAGAACUUUCCCUUCCACUUUUUUUAUUCUUUCUCAAGCUUCAGUUGCAACGCAGCAGCUUAUGUUGUAAGUUCAUGCUCCUUUUCAUAUCAGGUUUGGAUUUUGAUAGCAUUUCUUAUUGUUUCUAGCAUCCUCAGAGGGAGAUGGCUCAUGCUAUGGUCAAUACUGCUGUCAACACAGAGAGCUGGUUAAUGGAGUCAGUACACAAGGAAGAAGCAGACAGCAGACAGCAGGAAGACAAUACUGAGGCUCAUCUUAAAGAUGAACAUGGUCUCUUUGAGUCCAAAGUGGCAGAAACUCCAAUCCAGCAUUCACAGAGGAGCCCUUCCAUGAGAACUAGCGCUUUGGGUCCUUUCAGGCGCCAAAGUUUCUUUGACCAAGUAGAUCGAUCGCUAAAGACAGACAGCCUGACCAUCAAAUCAGCUCUACGUGUGCAGAGACCACACAGUACCUCCAAUAUGCAGGCUAAGAGAUCCACAAAUCUUCUAAAUCUUGUAAAAGAAAAGGGCAUUACAGUAAGUAUUGGGUCCCAGCCAGUUUUUAGCUAUUAG
rnacentral:lncRNA from 1 species